rnacentral:rRNA from 1 species
UACGGAGGGUGCAAGCGUUAUCCGGAUUCACUGGGUUUAAAGGGCGCGUAGGCGGGUAGGUAAGUCAGUGGUGAAAUCUUCGAGCUUAACUCGGAAACUGCCGUUGAUACUAUCUAUCUUGAAUACCGUGGAGGUGAGCGGAAUAUGUCAUGUAGCGGUGAAAUGCUUAGAUAUGACAUAGAACACCAAUUGCGAAGGCAGCUCGCUACACGAAUAUUGACUCUGAGGCACGAAAGCGUGGGGAGCAAACAGG